rnacentral:lncRNA from 10 species
UCUGCCUCCCGCGGCGGGCCGGGUCUCCAGGGAGGACCUGAGUUUUCUUCACCCAUGGUCAGGGAAGCGCCAUCGCCCUGGCUUUGAGGCUGGGGCCUCCGGGGAGGUUCCGGUAGGGGCUUUGAAGAGGCCGCUGUUUUUGCAAGGCCGAGACGGCGGGCCCUGCGCAGGCCGCCCUAUUCCGCGCCCUCAGGGCGUCAGUAUCCGCCUGAGGCCGGAUACCCCCUCUGGGCCCGGAUGCCCCCGCUGGCCCCGGAGCAUCCUCGGCGCUGCCCUCCCAGAGCCCCGCAGAGGCUGAGGUGGCGCGGGGGCGGCCCCGGCUCCGCGAGAAGCGGCGGCAGCGAGGGCUGGAGGACCCGGGCUACGGGGCUCCGGGGCGUCUGGCCUGGUUGGGACUGAGCCCAUCCAGGGACUGGGACUCUGGGAUUCUGGUGUAGGUGGAUCCGGGGCAGGCUCAGGACCAAGUCCCUCUCCUUCCACCAAGGAGCGCCCAGAGGCCGGCGGGAGCUCCAGGUUCACCUCCUCCUCCUCCAGGAAAUCUCACUUCCAACUGGAUGUCUGGAUGAACUACUGAAAGCUGCUGAGUGUCCUGCAGCAGCUUGACUACCACACAAAUGAAUCCACUCAAAUGUUGGCAAGUGGAGCAGAGUCCCAGGACAGGUACAGAAACACCCCCAGUUCAAGGAUCUUCACACCUGGAUUUAGGCCUACUCCUGCAACUACCCCAGAACCUGGAAUUUAUAUGUUCAACAUGGAGCCAUCCCAGCCAUGACAACAGAGAAUGUACCACUCUCACGUGAGUAAGAGGGGUAGGCAGUGCUCCUGUAUCACCAGCCCUUAAUGAGACCCUGAGGAAACCACAUCAUGGAGAUCAGCCCUUCUCUCCUUUAUUUUUAUUAAUAGAGUUACUAUGAAUUAUUAUAUUGUGGCUACUUACACCAAGAUGAAGAUAAUUUAUUAGUUCAGGAAGAACCUGCAUUCUGAAGGCAAAUGGAAGUUCCAGCUACAGAUGGGCAGACACAUGCCCCCUCAAUUCCUGAUGGACCUCCUUGUGCCUCAUGGACCUAAGGGGCCUCCCUCAAUGUUUCAAGAUGCCACCAAGGCAGGGAUCAGCUAGUGCAUUCCUGAGAACAUCCAGGAUGAAUUGAGGCUCUGGAAAAAUGCAAGAGUUUCCACAUAAUCCCAAAAAACCCUACAGGUGAACUGGAUGCCACAGAAAGAGGAGUGGUCUUUGUCACAACAAAAUCAACAAAAUUAUUUCGAAGUCAAUUAGGAAACUCAGAAAUCACUCUUGCUGCCAUUAAGAGGAAGAACAGCAGCCUGUGAAUGGCAUCCCUGGCCUUCCCGAGACUCCACAGAUAUUUCUAUGUGGCUUCAGACACCAGAAAUCUCUGUGAUUUUCAGAAAGGCAGGGACAGCUCAUGCAAGCCCAUCCCUCUGCAGAAUGUGUCCCAGCAGAUCAGUGGCAUGGAACCAUCAUGGACAGCACAGAGGCUCAAGGGCAGCAUCCCAGGUGGGCCUGUGACUCUAGAUAAGUUCUGAGUCCCCAUGGGGGAUCAGGAAAGGUUAGUGAUGACCUGGAAAGAAGGGACAGGUGGAAACCGCCCCUAAGCAAUCUGCAGGAUUCCAACUUCAGCAGGAAACCAAGGACCAGCUCGUACCACACCUGCGCCCCCUGAAAACUGGAUACAAUCCCAUUCUGCAGAAAGUUCCACGUAGAAGUGGCUGGGAAUUUUGCAUUCUAGAAUGAAUUUUACAGUGCCUCUGGACAUGUGAUGAGAAAGUUAACAUUGGUGUAUCUAAGUGACAUUUUCCACGAAGUGAUUUUUUAAGCUGUUUUAAAACAGACAAAAUAUAAUUAAAACAUAUGUAUUAUAUGUCAAAGUAUGGUUCGCUGGAAUCAAGUAGACUCACCUUGAGAUACAAUCUUGGACAACCUCCAUAUUCAGAAUAUCUACUUUUUCAAACCGAAACUCUCCAACCAAAAAUCAAUAACAUCAAAAGUUUGCAACUACAAGCCAACGGAAAAUAAAUACAUGAAUUCUACCAAAGUGAAUUGGACUGCUUUGGGAAACACAGAUGAAGAAAGUCAACACCGCUUUGUCUUUCAGUGCCUGGCUCCCUUUUCAGCUCGUCUUGCGACACCAGACAUUAUACCUGAAAAGUCUCCCGGACGCCUGUGAGGCUCUAAUUCCCUGGGUCCUAUUGUCAUUUCUCUGGAUUUGCAAAGAUCCACCUCACCUUCUGUGGAACCCCCAUGUCGGUGAACUUUUGGGCCACGGCCCCUAAUUCUGCCCAUAGUCAUCUGGAACUGCACGAGUUAGGGUCCAUGUUCCUUGGACGGGAAGAGACAGGCAGGAGUCGGAAUGAUGAACCAGCACACUGGGGCAUUUUCUCAUGUAGCCCAAGUGACCCCAUGGUCUUCUCGAGCUUUGGAACCAGUCGCGUCCCCCUUGACACUGCACCCGACUCCCAGUUUCUCAAUCUUGUUGGCCCUCCGGCGAUCUCCCUUUGGAUGAAUUGCACCUGCUGAAACUCGAGUCCCCUUUGAUUUGCGCUUCAUUAAUUAUUCAUGAUUCAGUUUGGAAGGCCUGCUUACGACUCCCUGUGGCCGUUCUCUGAGCUUUCCGGUCACAUCGUUUCCUUCCACGCUCUUUGGUUCAUUGUGGUCCUGCUGCUUCUGCUGUCAGAGGAGCAGAGAGUAGAUCUUAUUGAUUCUGGAUACGGAUACUUUCUAGGUGAUCUGGAUAAUCAAGAUAACGACCCUCAACAGCGGCGGAAAGGGAGCAGCCAUUCAGUGUGUCUCAGAAAAUACCGCUCAGUUCCGAGGCCUCCUAGAUGUGGAAUCCUGCUCAGAGUUGUUCCCAGGUCAGAGAAUAGAGAGAGUCUGUGCAUGAUGAGAUAUCCCUGCCUAGAUCUUUCAGUGAGUCUCUACCUCAGCUACUCUUAGGAUCAGUGGGAGAACCAUGGAAAGGCCCGGUGUCAGACAUCCGGAAAGAAGAUGGGAUGAAUGUUUUACCUCUGAAGUACAUCCCAAAUCUGGGAGUUAACUACAGCUUUGCUGGGGACUAUUUGGUCAGUGAAACUCUGCCUGGUUCAUUCGCACAUCCGGAAGCCACUUCACGGGGGGCCGUCGCAACCGGAACCACACACUUGGCAUAGGCGGUUGAGCCAAAUGGGGACUCGCGGUGCAAGCAACGCUCCCCACGUGUUAGCGUGCGUGAGAUUCAGUUGGCGGAAUUUUACUAGGUGCGUGUUGGUAGAGUGGGGCUGAGGUUCUCUUUCUCCUGUGGAUGUAUACGAAGUCAAAGGUCCUGCCCAGCCGUGCGGUCCCCUCAGUCAACUCUGUUUCGGAGACAUAACGAUUUGGAUUGCUAACAAGUCAAGAAAUGUUCAAGCCCUUGGAUGUAGGGAAAAGAAAGAGAGAUCAGACUGUCACUGUGUCUAUGUCGAAAGGGAAGACAUAAGAGACUCCAUUUUGGAAAAGACCUGUACUUUAAACAAUUGCUUUGCUGAGAUGUUGUUCAUUUGUAGCUUUGCCCCAGGCACUUUGCCCCAGCCGCUUUGACCCAACUUGGAGCUCACAAAAACCUGUGUUGUAUAAAAUCAAGGCUUAAGGGAUCUAGGGCUGUGCAGGACGUGCCUUGUUAACCAAAUGUUUACAAGCCGUAUACUUGGUAAAAGUCGUGGCCAUUCUCUAGUCUCAAUAAACCAGGGGCACAAUGCACCGUGGAAAGCUGCAGGGACGUCUGCCCUUGAAAGUAGGGCAUUGUCCAAGGUUUCUCCCGAUGCGAUACUCUGAAAUAUGGCCUUGUGGGAUAAAAAAGACCUGACUGUCCCCUAGCCUGACACCGGUAAAGCGUCUGUGCUGAGGUGGAUUAGUCAAAGAGGAAAGCCUCUUGUAGUUGAGAUGGAGGAAGGCCACUGUCUCCUGCUCGCCCCUGGGAGCUGAAUGUCUCGGUGUAAAAUCCGAUCGUACAUUUGUUCAACUCUGAGCUAGGAGAAAAGCUGCCCUGUGGCGCGAGGCGAGACAUGUUGGCAGUAAUGCUGCCCUGUUAUUCUUUACUCCGCUGAGAUGUUUGGGUGGAGAGAAACAUAAAUCUGGCCUACGUGCACGUCCAGGCAUAGUACCUUCCCUUGAACUUAAUUAUGAUAUAGAUUGCUUUGCUCACAUGUUUUUUUGGUUGACCUUCUCUUUAUUAUCACCCUGCUCUCCUACUACAUUCCUUUUUGCUGAAAUAAUGAAAAUCAUAAUCAAUUAAAAAUGAGGGAACUCAGAGGCCGGUGCCGGUGCAGGUCCUUGGUGUGCUGAGUGCCGGUCCCCUGGACCCACUUUUGUCUCCCUAUACUUUGCCUCUGUGUCUUAUUUCUUUUCUCCGUCUCUCAUCCCACCCGACUAGAAACACCCACAGGUGUGGAGGGGCAGGCGAUCCCUACACUUGGAAAAUC